GACAUAGGUGGCGAACGUUAUCCGGAAUUAUUGGGCGUAAAGGAUGCGUAGAUGGUAGAAUAAGUUACUGGUCGAUGCCAAACUCAAUUUGACGGAAGCUGGUAAUACUGUUCUACUUGAGGGCAGGAGAGGUUGAUAGAAUUCUGUGUGGAGCGGUGAAAUGCGUUGAUCUACAGAGGAACACCAAAAAAGGCGAAGGCAGUCAACUAUUCUGUUCCUGACAUUGAGGCAUGAAAGCGUGGGGAGCAAACCGG
rnacentral:rRNA from 1 species